AUUGAACGCUGGCGGCAUGCUUUACACAUGCAAGUCGGACGGCAGCAUAAAAGAGCUUGCUCUUUUGAUGGCGAGUGGCGGACGGGUGAGUAAUGCAUCGGAACGUACCGAGUAGUGGGGGAUAACUGUCCGAAAGGAUGGCUAAUACCGCAUAUUCUCUGAGGAGGAAAGCAGGGGACCUUAGGGCCUUGCGCUAUUUGAGCGGCCGAUGUCUGAUUAGCUAGUUGGUGGGGUAAGAGCCCACCAAGGCGACGAUCAGUAGCGGGUCUGAGAGGAUGAUCCGCCACACUGGGACUGAGACACGGCCCAGACUCCUACGGGAGGCAGCAGUGGGGAAUUUUGGACAAUGGGCGCAAGCCUGAUCCAGCCAUGCCGCGUGUAUGAAGAAGGCCUUCGGGUUGUAAAGUACUUUUGUCAGGGAAGAAAAGCCUGAGGAUAACACCCUCAGGUCAUGACGGUACCUGAAGAAUAAGCACCGGCUAACUACGUGCCAGCAGCCGCGGUAAUACGUAGGGUGCGAGCGUUAAUCGGAAUUACUGGGCGUAAAGCGAGCGCAGACGGUUAUUUAAGCAAGAUGUGAAAGCCCCGGGCUCAACCUGGGAACUGCGUUUUGAACUGGGUAACUAGAGUGUGUCAGAGGGGGGUAGAAUUCCACGUGUAGCAGUGAAAUGCGUAGAGAUGUGGAGGAAUACCGAUGGCGAAGGCAGCCCCCUGGGAUAACACUGACGUUCAUGCUCGAAAGCGUGGGUAGCAAACAGG
rnacentral:rRNA from 1 species